rnacentral:rRNA from 1 species
GUGGGGAAUUUUGGACAAUGGGCGCAAGCCUGAUCCAGCGACGCCGCGUGGAGGACGAAGGCCUUCGGGUUGUAAACUCCUUUUGGAGGGGAAGAAUAAAUUGACGGUACCCUCAGAAAAAGCCACGGCUAACUACGUGCCAGCAGCCGCGGUAAUACGUAGGUGGCGAGCGUUACUCGGAAUUACUAGGCGUAAAGCGUAUGUAGGUGGUUAGAUAAGUCUAUGGUGAAAUUUCCUGGCUUAACUGGGAAGGGACAUAGAUACUAUCUGGCUUGAGUGUGGGAGGGGGAGAAGGAAUUCCUGGUGUAGCGGUGAAAUGCGUAGAUAUCAGGAGGAACACCGAUGGCGAAAGCAGUCUCCUGGCCAAAUACUGACACUGAGGUACGAAAGCUAGGGUAGCAAACAGGAUUAGAAACCCGGGUAGUCC